GACGAACGCUGGCGGCGUGCCUAAUACAUGCAAGUAGAACGCACAGUUUAUACCGUAGCUUGCUACACCAUAAACUGUGAGUUGCGAACGGGUGAGUAACGCGUAGGUAACCUGCCUGGUAGCGGGGGAUAACUAUUGGAAACGAUAGCUAAUACCGCAUAAUAUUGAUUAUUGCAUGAUAAUUGAUUGAAAGAUGCUAUUGCAUCACUACCAGAUGGACCUGCGUUGUAUUAGCUAGUAGGUGAGGUAACGGCUCACCUAGGCGACGAUACAUAGCCGACCUGAGAGGGUGAUCGGCCACACUGGGACUGAGACACGGCCCAGACUCCUACGGGAGGCAGCAGUAGGGAAUCUUCGGCAAUAGACGAAAGUCUGACCGAGCAACGCCGCGUGAGUGAAGAAGGGUCUCGGAUCGUAAAGCUCUGUUGUAAGAGAAGAACGGGUGUGAGAGUGGAAAGUUCACACUGUGACGGUAUCUUACCAGAAAGGGACGGCUAACUACGUG
rnacentral:rRNA from 1 species